rnacentral:rRNA from 1 species
UGCGCAGGCGGCUUCUCAAGUCAGAUGUGAAAUCCCCGGGCUUAACCUGGGAACUGCGUUUGAAACUGGGAGGCUAGAGUGUGGCAGAGGGGGGUGGAAUUCCACGUGUAGCAGUGAAAUGCGUAGAUAUGUGGAGGAACACCGAUGGCGAAGGCAGCCCCCUGGGCCUGCACUGACGCUCAUGCACGAAAGCGUGGGGAGCAAACAGGAUUAGAUACCCUGGUAGUCCACGCCCUAAACUAUGUCGACUAGUUGUUGGGGGAGUCUGUCCCUCAGUAACGUAGCUAACGCGUGAAGUCGACCGCCUGGGGAGUACGGUCGCAAGAUUAAA